CAAAUACGGCAUUGAGGUUGAUCUGGAUUCACUAGAUGGCAGGUUUCAUCGAUGCUAAGACUUUGUAAAUCAUCGCCAUCGCAAUCCCGUGCUAUAGAUAUAAUUUCACAUGAAGAUGAUGAUUCUUCAGAUCGUCUUGAAAUGGUAGACUGGCAUAAGAUGGGUUCACUUUCUGAAACAUCUUCCUUGUGACUAUCAUUUGAUACUAAUUGCAUUGCGAAUAAUAUUGAAUCAGCAUUAAACUGUCAACUCCAUCGCAAGGCCUAUAUUUCCUACUGCACAUUUCAAUAGAAAUCAGGCAACCUGAUAUUUACCAAAAAUGGAGGAUCUUCAUGAUAUUUAAACAAUAUCCGAAUUCGUUUCCAAGGAAUUCAGAAAAAAAUCUAAAUCUGGCGCGAUUUCAAUGGAAUUGAAAGGUUUGAAGUUUCGCGUCAAUGGCAAUGAAAGAGAGAGAGAA
rnacentral:misc_RNA from 1 species